rnacentral:rRNA from 1 species
AUUGAACGCUGGCGGAAUGCUUUACACAUGCAAGUCGAACGGCAGCACGGACUUCGGUCUGGUGGCGAGUGGCGAACGGGUGAGUAAUGUAUCGGAACGUGCCCAGUCGUGGGGGAUAACGUAGUGAAAAUUACGCUAAUACCGCAUACGAUCUAUGGAUGAAAGCGGGGGAUCGCAAGACCUCGCGCGAUUGGAGCGGCCGAUAUCAGGUUAGGUAGUUGGUGGGGUAAAGGCCCACCAAGCCAACGAUCUGUAGCUGGUCUGAGAGGACGACCAGCCACACGGGAACUGAGACACGGUCCAGACUCCUACGGGAGGCAGCAGUGGGGAAUUUUGGACAAUGGGCGAAGGCCUGAUCCAGCCAUUCCGCGUGCAGGAUGAAGGCCCUCGGGUUGUAAACUGCUUUUGUACAGAACGAAAAGGUUUCUACUAAUACUAGGAGCUCAUGACGGUACUGUAAGAAUAAGCACCGGCUAACUACGUGCCAGCCGCCGCGGUAA